rfam:Candidatus Firestonebacteria bacterium RIFOXYA2_FTLL_40_8 rifoxya2_full_scaffold_3668, whole genome shotgun sequence.
GGGCCCGUAGCUCACCUGGAUAGAGCAACUGCCUUCUAAGCAGUAGGUAGGAGGUUCGAGUCCUCUCGGGCCCG